AGAACCUGAAACCGUGUACGUACAAGCAGUGGGAGCACAGGUUUACCUGUGUGACUGCGUACCUUUUGUAUAAUGGGUCAGCGACUUAUAUUCUGUAGCAAGGUUAACCGAAUAGGGGAGCCGGAGGGAAACCGAGUCUUAAUUGGGCGUUAAGUUGCAGGGUAUAGACCCGAAACCCGGUGAUCUAGCCAUGGGCAGGUUGAAGGUUGGGUAACACUAACUGGAGGACCGAACCGACUAAUGUUGAAAAAUUAGCGGAUGACCUGUGGCUGGGGGUGAAAGGCCAAUCAAACCGGGAGAUAGCUGGUUCUCCCCGAAAGCUAUUUAGGUAGCGCCUCGUGAAUUCAUCUCCGGGGGUAGAGCACUGUUUCGGCUAGGGGGCCAUCCCGGCUUACCAACCCGAUGCAAACUGCGAAUACCGGAGAAUGUUAUCACGGGAGACACACGGCGGGUGCUAACGUCCGUCGUGAAGAGGGAAACAACCCAGACCGCCAGCUAAGGUCCCAAAGUCAUGGUUAAGUGGGAAACGAUGUGGGAAGGCCCAGACAGCCAGGAUGUUGGCUUAGAAGCAGCCAUCAUUUAAAGAAAGCGUAAUAGCUCACUGGUCGAGUCGGCCUGCGCGGAAGAUGUAACGGGGCUAAACCAUGCACCGAAGCUGCGGCAGCGAC
rnacentral:rRNA from 1 species